rnacentral:rRNA from 1 species
UGGGGAAUAUUGGGCAAUGGGCGCAAGCCUGACCCAGCAAUGCCGCGUGGGUGAAGAAGGUCUUCGGAUUGUAAAGCCCUUUCGGCGGGGACGAUGGUGACGGUACCCGCAGAAGAAGCCCCGGCCAACUUCGUGCCAGCAGCCGCGGUAAUACGAAGGGGGCUAGCGUUGCUCGGAAUCACUGGGCGUAAAGGGCGCGUAGGCGGCGGCUCUAGUCGGGCGUGAAAUCCCCGGGCUCAACCCGGGGGCUGCGCCCGAUACGGUGCCGCUCGAGGACGGGAGAGGCUCGCGGAAUUCCCAGUGUAGAGGUGAAAUUCGUAGAUAUUGGGAAGAACACCGGUGGCGAAGGCGGCGAGCUGGCCCGUUUCUGACGCUGAGGCGCGACAGCGUGGGGAGCAAACAG